rnacentral:rRNA from 1 species
AGAGUUUGAUCCUGGCUCAGGACGAACGCUGGCGGCGUGCCUAAUACAUGCAAGUAGAACGCUGAAGGAGGAGCUUGCUUCUCUGGAUGAGUUGCGAACGGGUGAGUAACGCGUAGGUAACCUGCCUGGUAGCGGGGGAUAACUAUUGGAAACGAUAGCUAAUACCGCAUAAGAGUAGAUGUUGCAUGACAUUUGCUUAAAAGGUGCAAUUGCAUCACUACCAGAUGGACCUGCGUUGUAUUAGCUAGUUGGUGAGGUAACGGCUCACCAAGGCGACGAUACAUAGCCGACCUGAGAGGGUGAUCGGCCACACUGGGACUGAGACACGGCCCAGACUCCUACGGGAGGCAGCAGUAGGGAAUCUUCGGCAAUGGACGGAAGUCUGACCGAGCAACGCCGCGUGAGUGAAGAAGGUUUUCGGAUCGUAAAGCUCUGUUGUAAGAGAAGAACGAGUGUGAGAGUGGAAAGUCACACU